rnacentral:rRNA from 1 species
CAGUAGCCGCGGGAAUACGUAGGUGGCAAGCGUUGUCCGGAAUUAUUGGCGUAAAGGGCUCGCAGGCGGUUUCUUAAGUCUGAUGUGAAAGCCCCCGGCUCAACCGUGGAGGGUCAUUGGAAACUGGGAAACUUGAGUGCAGAAGAGGAGAGUGGAAUUCCACGUGUAGCGGUGAAAUGCGUAGAGAUGUGGAGGAACACCAGUGGCGAAGGCGACUCUCUGGUCUGUGACUGACGCUGAGGAGCGAAAGCGUGGGGAGCGAACAGGAUUAGAUACCCCCGUAGUCCCUGUCUCUUAUACA